rnacentral:rRNA from 1 species
GACGAACGCUGGCGGCGUGCUUAACACAUGCAAGUCGAGCGGAAAGGCCCUGCUUUUGUGGGGUGCUCGAGUGGCGAACGGGUGAGUAACACGUGAGUAACCUGCCCUUGACUUUGGGAUAACUUCAGGAAACUGGGGCUAAUACCGGAUAGGAGCUCCUGCUGCAUGGUGGGGGUUGGAAAGUUUCGACGGUUGGGGAUGGACUCGCGGCUUAUCAGCUUGUUGGUGGGGUAGUGGCUUACCAAGGCUUUGACGGGUAGCCGGCCUGAGAGGGUGACCGGCCACAUUGGGACUGAGAUACGGCCCAGACUCCUACGGGAGGCAGCAGUGGGGAAUAUUGCACAAUGGGCGGAAGCCUGAUGCAGCAACGCCGCGUGCGGGAUGACGGCCUUCGGGUUGUAAACCGCUUUCGCCUGUGACGAAGCGUGAGUGACGGUAAUGGGUAAAGAAGCACCGGCUAACUACGUG